rnacentral:rRNA from 1 species
CCCUUAGAUGUUCUGGGCCGCACGCGUGCUACACUGAUGCAUUCAACGAGUCUAAAACCUGGUCUGAUAGGGCUGGGUAAUCUUUUGAAAGUGCAUCGUGAUUGGGAUAGAUGAUUGCAAUUCUUCAUCUUCAACGAGGAAUGCCUAGUAAACGCAAGUCAUCAGCUUGCAUUGAUUACGUCCCUGCCCUUUGUACACACCGCCCGUCGCUCCUACCGAUUGAAUGAUCCGAUGAAUACCAUGGAUUGAGAGUACGAAUAGGUUCGCUUAUUUCUGCUGCUCGAGAAGUGGAGUAAAUCUUACCAUUUAGAGGAAGGAGAAGUCGUAACA